UGCUGCACUAGUGCAAUUAGUUAGAGUGAAAGAAAUUUCAUGCUCUUUCCUGCUUUCCGCUUUCUGUUCUUUAUUCAAUUUACCGGCGAGAUACACACGUGGAGGAUCUGUGGAGGCAAUUCGAACAGAAGAUGUCCUAGCACUUGCACGUGCAUCGACUCUAUCAUUCUCAAGUUUUACCGCAUCAUUGUGAUCUGUGCGACCGCAGUUUCUAAAGGAAGAAUUGUACAAGCACGUGUCUUGGCAUUCCGAUCAAAAGUCCUACAUCUGUAAUAUUUGCGAAUUUUCGCGAUACGUUUGGAUGAGAUAGAACAUAGUACAAAGUAUUGACUCUAAAGCUUAUUAUCACAGAAUCUGUGGAGAAUAAAAAAACGUUCAAUUGAAUAGAAUCUUGAUGAAGGAAGAAAGUAGAAAAGAAGAUCAGGAACAAGAAUUUCAAAAGAAAAUCAAUAUCUAGGUGUUACACAGCCUUUUAAAUAAAAGCCUUUCAAAUAAAAAUUUAAUAAACUUUUAAAGAGAAUCAUUAUAUAAAGAAUUAAUAUCAACAAGCAUGAAGGUAUCAGCAAAUCAAGCAAAGAGCCUUUUCAAAGAAAAGGUUUUAUUUUCUUGCAACAUAUGUCACAACGAAUAUGUAGAACGAGCAGAUUUAUACUAUCAUGCUUUAAUCAAACAUAAACAAUUAAAUUGUUGUUUUCGCUGUGAUUUCAAUAUCUUUUUGAAUCGGGAAUCUUUUGAGAGACACAUGCUAAAGAGGCACAAUGUAAUACACGUCUGUAUGUUUUGUCCUGAAGCUUAUAACGGAUUGAUGUAUCGAAAGAAAAAGCAUGAUAAAACACACUAUCAAUGUAUAUACUGCCAGAAAGUUUUCUGUGGACCAAAGAAACUAUAUAAUCAUCUAUAUGUACACUCAAAGCCAUUUGCAUGUUCGGUCUGUGCGGAGAAAUUUAAUACGAAAGUCGCACUGAGAUUGCAUCUUGUUAACAAACAUCAUGAAGAACCAUGUGACUUGUUGCCGAGUUUCAAAAAUCUCUAACAUUUUAAAAACUUAGUUGUAAAAUGAGAAGGAAAUAUAAAGAUAAACAAUACAAUCCCCAGAAUGCGCUCGGAUCAA
rnacentral:lncRNA from 1 species